rnacentral:rRNA from 1 species
AACGAACGCUGGCGGCAUGCCUAACACAUGCAAGUCGAACGAGACCUUCGGGUCUAGUGGCGCACGGGUGCGUAACGCGUGGGAACCUGCCCUUAGGUUCGGAAUAACUCCCCGAAAGGGGUGCUAAUACCGGAUAAUGUCUUCGGACCAAAGAUUUAUCGCCUUUGGAUGGGCCCGCGUUGGAUUAGCUAGUUGGUAGGGUAAAAGCCUACCAAGGCGACGAUCCAUAGCUGGUCUGAGAGGAUGAUCAGCCACACUGGGACUGAGACACGGCCCAGACUCCUACGGGAGGCCGCAGUGGGGAAUAUUGGACAAUGGGCGAAAGCCUGAUCCAGCAAUGCCGCGUGAGUGAUGAAGGCCUUAGGGUUGUAAAGCUCUUUUACCCGGGAUGAUAAUGACAGUACCGGGAGAAUAAGCUCCGGCUAACUCCGUG